rnacentral:rRNA from 1 species
GACGUAGGGCGCGAGCGUUGUCCGGAUUUAUUGGGCGUAAAGAGCUCGUAGGCGGCUUGUCGCGUCGUUCGUGAAAACUUGGGGCUCAACCCCGAACUUGCAGUGGGUACGGGCAGACUAGAGUGUGGUAGGGGAGACUGGAAUUCCUGGUGUAGCGGUGAAAUGCGCAGAUAUCAGGAGGAACACCGAUGGCGAAGGCAGGUCUCUGGGCCAUAACUGACGCUGAGAAGCGAAAGCAUGGGGAGCGAACAGG